GUCCACACAUUUUGCAUGUCAACCUAUAUCAUGGCAACAGGAUCACUCUAGGAAGAAUUCCAUUAAUGUGCCAUCCAUAGAUUCCCGACAUUACAAUUUGGACAGGGACAAACCGAGAAUCACCAGCCAUGUACAACCAGGAAAUCUUAGGAUUUCUAGCCCCACAGUAGAAGGUACAAGAACAGAAGUUGCCAAAAUUGGUUCUUUCACAUCAAGUGUUCAACCAGCAGGACAGUUUCAUGCUUUUCAUAGUAUCAGUCCUAUUGAAGCACCUAGGACCUAUAUUUCCCCUGAGAGAAUCGGGCUUCAGUUUUCAAAAGGUAGCAGUUACCAGUCUGAUGUGGC